UUAGGUCCUCGACCUCGCCGACUCCACAGCCUCCUCAUCUCUCUUUGGCCUCUCUUUGCAGGAGAUCAAGAUAAACAAGAUGGCUGUAGGCAGAGUUUUUGUUCCUAACAAGACGUUGGUCUCCUCUCCCAAGUUUCCAACAGGUUGUUUUCCUCUCCCAAGUUCCCAACAAACAAGAAGGCGUGCUCUCCUCUCCCAGGCCAAAAUGUGUGCUCUCUCUGAUCCUCUCCACUCCACGCCACACCAUCUCUCUCAUAUUACAAAGUACUUGGAAUUUCAAGCCAUGAAAUGAUUGCAAGAAGAAACAAAGCAAAUCAGAAGGGUGAAUAAAGGGCAAUGGAGUUAGUCCCUGGUUGGUCGGAGAUGGGCGGCGGCAGGUGGCGGUGGUUGG